GACGAACGCUGGCGGCGUGCCUAAUACAUGCAAGUAGAACGCUGAAGAGAGGAGCUUGCUCUUCUUGGAUGAGUUGCGAACGGGUGAGUAACGCGUAGGUAACCUGCCUUGUAGCGGGGGAUAACUAUUGGAAACGAUAGCUAAUACCGCAUAACAAUGGAUGACACAUGUCAUUUAUUUGAAAGGGGCAAUUGCUCCACUACAAGAUGGACCUGCGUUGUAUUAGCUAGUAGGUGAGGUAAUGGCUCACCUAGGCGACGAUACAUAGCCGACCUGAGAGGGUGAUCGGCCGCACUGGGACUGAGACACGGCCCAGACUCCUACGGGAGGCAGCAGUAGGGGAUCUUCGGCAAUGGGGGCAACCCUGACCGAGCAACGCCGCGUGAGUGAAGAAGGGUUUCGGAUCGUAAAGCUCUGUUGUAAGUCAAGAACGGGUGUGAGAGUGGAAAGUUCACACUGUGACGGUAGCUUACCAGAAAGGGACGGCUAACUACGUG
rnacentral:rRNA from 1 species